ensembl:lncRNA
ACCCCCAACCCCCAUCCCAUCCCUCUAGGUCAUCACAGAGCACUGGGCUGAGCUCCCUGUGUUAUACAGCAACUUCCCUCUAGGUAUCUAUUUUACACAUGGUGCCAAUUUUGGAAGACACAGUCAAAGGCAGCAACUACUUUCCCUUCUGCUCUUGUCAGCAGGGCUGACCACUAUGGGCAGACAGAUCUGAAUGAGAGAGCUAGAGAAGCCAGGCCUCACACAUGCAGUGACCCAUCCAGCUAUCUACCAGUUAGUGUCUAUUCAUCCAUAAACGGCUCACUUCAAGUUUAGAGCAUGAAUGCCAGUAACAGUGGAGACUAACAGCUUACUCUUUCCUGUUAGAAGAAAAAAGACAAUUGCCUCAAUCAUAGAGUAAAAGCCCUGAGAUUCAAACCAUGGCCUAUUGAAUUCAGGAGUCUGAGUGACUCAGGCCAAAACCAAGCACGGGGGCAAGAAGACUACGAUAACCUUAAAAUAUCAGGCCAAAAAGGGCCUACCUCGAGAUGGGACUAAGGAUGAGGCUAUGGCUCAUCCAAGCCACACAGCUGCUGCAUAACAAAGGAGUGGAACUGAGAAGGACGUUUUUGUAAAGUGACUCUUCAGAUUCUCACAUGCCUGUGGUGUCAGAGGCUCAACAAGACAUCAAAAACGUUUCACAAAGAAACAGAAAGGCUGCCAGGCUCCUCUGUCCAUGGGAUUCUCCAGGUGAGAGUACACGUGUGGGUUGCCAUUUCCUUCUCCAGAGGAUCUUCCUGACCCAGGAAUCGAACCCAGGUCUCCUGCAAUACAGGC